GACGAACGCUGGCGGCGUGCUUAACACAUGCAAGUCGAGCGGUAAGGCCCUUUCGGGGGUACACGAGCGGCGAACGGGUGAGUAACACGUGAGUAAUCUGCCCUUCACUUCGGGAUAAGCCUCGGAAACGGGGUCUAAUACCGGAUACGACACUUUUACGCAUGUAAUGGGUGUGGAAAGUUUUUUCGGUGGGGGAUGUGCUCGCGGCCUAUCAGCUUGUUGGUGGGGUAAUGGCCUACCAAGGCUUCGACGGGUAGCCGGCCUGAGAGGGUGACCGGCCACACUGGGACUGAGACACGGCCCAGACUCCUACGGGAGGCGGCAGUGGGGAAUAUUGGACAAUGGGCGGAAGCCUGAUCCAGCAACGCCGCGUGAGGGAUGACGGCCUUCGGGUUGUAAACCUCUUUCAGCGGGGACGAAGCGCAAGUGACGGUACCCGCAGAAGAAGCACCGGCCAACUACGUGCCAGCAGCCGCGGUAAUACGUAGGGUGCGAGCGUUGUCCGGAAUUAUUGGGCGUAAAGGGCUCGUAGGCGGUUUGUCGCGUCGGGAGUGAAAACGCCGGGCUUAACUCGGUGCUUGCUUUCGAUACGGGCAGACUAGAGGCAUGCAGGGGAGAACGGAAUUCCUGGUGUAGCGGUGAAAUGCGCAGAUAUCAGGAGGAACACCGGUGGCGAAGGCGGUUCUCUGGG
rnacentral:rRNA from 1 species